rnacentral:rRNA from 1 species
UCUUCGGAUGGAAUCGAUAAGUUCUAGCGGCGGACGGGUGAGUAACGCGUGAGCAACCUGCCCUCCACAGGGGGAUAACGCACCGAAAGGUGCACUAAUACCGCAUAAGACCACGUUUCUGACAUGGGAAUGAGGUCAAAGGAGCAAUCCGGUGGAAGAUGGGCUCGCGUCUGAUUAGCUAGUCGGUGAGGUAACGGCCCACCAAGGCGACGAUCAGUAGCCGACCUGAGAGGGUGAUCGGCCACAUUGGAACUGAGAGACGGUCCAAACUCC